GAGGGUAUAGCUCAGUGGUAGAGCACGUACUGAGCAUGCAGGAGGUCCUGGGUUCAGUCCCCAGUACCUCCA
rnacentral:tRNA from 1 species